rnacentral:tRNA from 1 species
GCCCGGAUGGCGAAAUUGGUAGACGCAAGGGACUUAAAAUCCCUCGACUUCGGUCGUGCCGGUUCGACCCCGGCUCCGGGCA